UUUUGCCUACUGACUUCAAUUGUCUUGUUAACAGGCCAGUUAUGGUAGACUUCAGCUGAAAAAAAAAGUUAUAAAAAGCAAUCUGGAAAGCCACCCAGGGGAGAUUUCAUGAAGAGGAGGGCAAUUUGUUAUUUUUCGUCUGAAUCCUUAGGUGCAUCUGCAGCCCACAGACCAGUGGCAGGAAACUAACAGACAUAAUUGACUGUGCUCAGCAGACCUCAAGAAACCAGAUGUCUUGUGUUAAGAAUACUCAAGCAGCACUAUGAGAAGGUUUACAUGCCACCAAGUUCCAGAUGCUAGCAGGAUGCGACCAGACUUCCCUGGACAGACAACCCCACCAAUGUGCCUUGGAGCUCCGCUUUCCCAGAGCCCUUCCCCACUAGGGAAAGAGAGAGACAGGAUGGGAGUAUGGAUAGACCUGUCAACGCCCAUGUUCAUCAGGGAGGCAAUUGCAGAAGCCAGACCUUCAUCCUUCUGCAUCCCACAAUGAUCUUGAGUCCACACUCCCAGAGGGUUAAGGAGUAGGAAAGCUAUCAGGGGAGGGGUUGGUAUACGGAGGUCUGGUGGUGGGAACUGU